rnacentral:rRNA from 1 species
GUUGGGGAAUUUUGGACAAUGGGCGAAAGCCUGAUCCAGCAAUGCCGCGUGUGUGAAGAAGGCCUUCGGGUUGUAAAGCACUUUUGUCCGGAAAGAAAUCCUUGGCUCUAAUACAGUCGGGGGAUGACGGUACCGGAAGAAUAAGCACCGGCUAACUACGUGCCAGCAGCCGCGGUAAUACGUAGGGUGCAAGCGUUAAUCGGAAUUACUGGGCGUAAAGCGUGCGCAGGCGGUUUGCUAAGACCGAUGUGAAAUCCCCGGGCUCAACCUGGGAACUGCAUUGGUGACUGGCAGGCUAGAGUAUGGCAGAGGGGGGUAGAAUUCCACGUGUAGCAGUGAAAUGCGUAGAGAUGUGGAGGAAUACCGAUGGCGAAGGCAGCCCCCUGGGCCAAUACUGACGCUCAUGCACGAAAGCGUGGGGAGCAAACAGGAUUAGAUACCCUGGUAGUCCACGCCCUAAACGAUGUCAACUAGUUGUUGGGGAUUCAUUUCCUUAGUAACGUAGCUAACGCGUGAAGUUGACCGCCUGGGGAGUACGGUCGCAAGAUUAAAACUUAAAUGAAUUGACGGGGUCAUAGCU